rnacentral:rRNA from 1 species
GAUGAACGCUGGCGGCGUGCCUAAUACAUGCAAGUCGAGCGAACGGACGAGAAGCUUGCUUCUCUGAUGUUAGCGGCGGACGGGUGAGUAACACGUGGAUAACCUACCUAUAAGACUGGGAUAACUUCGGGAAACCGGAGCUAAUACCGGAUAAUAUUUUGAACCGCAUGGUUCAAAAGUGAAAGACGGUCUUGCUGUCACUUAUAGAUGGAUCCGCGCUGCAUGAGCUAGUUGGUAAGGUAACAUCUUAUCAAGGCAACGAUGCAUAUCCGACCUGAGAGAGUGAUCGCCCACACUGGAACUGAGACACGGUCCAGACGCCUACGGGAGGCAGCAGUAGGGAAUCUUCCGCAAUGGGCGAAAGCCUGACGGAGCAACGCCGAGUGAGUGAUGAAGGUCUUCGGAUCGUAAAACUCUGUUAUUAGGGAAGAACAUAUGUGUAAGUAACUGUGCACAUCUUGACGGUACCUAAUCAGAAAGCAACGGCUAACUACGUG